GUACGGUGGCCCAGACGCGACAGCACAAAAACAGUUUUUGUAUUUUUUGAUUUUUUGAUUUUUUGAUUUUUUGAUUUUUUGAUUUUUGUAUUUUUUGAUUUUUGUAUUUUUUGAUUUUUUGAUUUUUGUAUUUUUUGAUUUUUUGAUUUUUUGAUUUUUUGAUUUUUGAUUUUUUGAUUUUUUGAUUUUUUGAUUUUUUGAUUUUUUGAUUUUUUGAUUUUUGUAUUUUUUGAUUUUUUGAUUUUUGUAUUUUUUGAUUUUUUGAUUUUUUGAUUUUUUGAUUUUUGAUUUUUCGAUUUUUUGAAUUUGAUAUAUAUUUGGAUUUUUUUAAUGUUUAAAGACCUUGUCAAGUUCGUUCUGCACAUCAGUUCUGUUCAUAACAAACGGCGACCCACAGAAAUAAAUAUUGCCCAAAUUUUGCAUUUUUCGAACUGUUUUGAAUUGAAACGUACUCUAGUUUAUAUUCAUUUACAAUAGCGAACCAGAAAACUGUUAGAUAUUUAGUUAAUAGUAUGUCUUAUUUUACAAAUAUAUAGCAGUCCAAAAUAUAAACAAAGCGUCGAAGGAUUUAUUUACAUUACGCGGACUUGACAUGCAUGGUCUUCAAAAGUUUGAAGUACUAUAGGCGAGGCCGAGUAUCUUUUAUAAGUCUGAUAAAACACGCACUGCGGAUGUAAAUUUUAUGUCUACAAUCUAGAUAAAGCAUGAGCGGCCGUGUUGUAUCAAAUGUACAAACUUGAGCCAAAGACAAUGUCUGGGACAACAAUGUCACAACAUGUACGCGAUACUUCGUAUGACUUGUGAUCAAACGUUUGAGAACAUUCGUAUUCUUCAACAAUUUUAAAUAUUCAAUGAAUGAUAUUUGGUGUGAAAAUUUAACUUAAAGUUUAUCUAAAUGAGUUUUUUAGUACUAUUUAAUGCAUGAUCAGCAG
rnacentral:lncRNA from 1 species